rnacentral:rRNA from 1 species
AGUGAACGCUGGCGGUAGGCCUAACACAUGCAAGUCGAACGGCAGCACAGUAAGAGCUUGCUCUUACGGGUGGCGAGUGGCGGACGGGUGAGGAAUACAUCGGAAUCUACUUUUUCGUGGGGGAUAACGUAGGGAAACUUACGCUAAUACCGCAUACGGCCUACGGGUGAAAGCAGGGGAUCUUCGGACCUUGCGCGAUUGAAUGAGCCGAUGUCGGAUUAGCUAGUUGGCGGGGUAAAGGCCCACCAAGGCGACGAUCCGUAGCUGGUCUGAGAGGAUGAGCAGCCACACUGGAACUGAGACACGGUCCAGACUCCUACGGGAGGCAGCAGUGGGGAAUAUUGGACAAUGGGCGCAAGCCUGAUCCAGCCAUACCGCGUGGGUGAAGAAGGCCUUCGGGUUGUAAAGCCCUUUUGUUGGGAAAGAAAAGCAGCAGGUUAAUACCCCGCUGUUCUGACGGUACCCAGAAUAAGCACCGGCUAACUUCGUG